rnacentral:rRNA from 1 species
AACGAACGCUGGCGGCGUGCUUAACACAUGCAAGUCGAACGCGAAAGGGACUUCGGUCCUGAGUAAAGUGGCGCACGGGUGAGUAACGCGUAGAUAACCUAUCUUCAUGUCUGGAAUAAUACGCCGAAAGGGGUACUAAUACCGGAUACUCUUGCUUUAUAUAAGUUUUGCAAGCAAAGGUGGCCUCUGCAUAUGCUACUGCAUGAAGAGGGGUCUGCGUACCAUUAGCUAGUAGGUGGGGUAAUGGCCUACCUAGGCGACGAUGGUUAGCGGGUCUGAGAGGAUGAUCCGCCACACUGGCACUGGAACACGGGCCAGACUCCUACGGGAGGCAGCAGUGAGGAAUAUUGCGCAAUGGGGGCAACCCUGACGCAGCGACGCCGCGUGAGUGAGGAAGGCCUUCGGGUCGUAAAGCUCUGUCAAAGGGAAAGAAGUGCAUGAUGGCUAAUACCUGUCAUGUUUGACGGUACCCUUAAAGGAAGCACCGGCUAACUCCGUGCCAGCAGCCGCCGUAACAC